GAUGAACGCUGGCGGCGUGCCUAAUACAUGCAAGUCGAGCGAACAGACGAGGAGCUUGCUCCUCUCACGUUAGCGGCGGACGGGUGUGUAACACGUGUAUCACCUACCUAUAUGACUGGGAUAACUUCGGGAAACCGGAGCUAAUCCCGUAUAAUAUCUUGAACCGCAUGGUUCAAUAGUGAAAGUCGGUUUUGCUGUCUCGUAUAGAUGGAUCCGCGCCGCAUUAGCUGGUUGGUAAGGUAACGGCUUACCAAGGCAACGAUGCGUAGCCGACCUGAGAGACGGAUAGGCCACAUUGGAGCUGAGACACGGUCCAGACUACUACGAGAGGCAGCAGUAGGGAAUCUUCCGCAAUGGGGGAAAGCAUGACGGAGCAACGCCGCGUGAGUGAUGAAGGUCUUCGGAUCGUAAAACUCUGUUAUUAGGGAAGAACAAAUGUGUAAGUAACUAUGCACGUCUUGACGGUACCUAAUCAGAAAGCCACGGCUAACUACGUG
rnacentral:rRNA from 1 species